AUGCCGCAACAUUCCUUCUCUAAUCUUUUUCGUCGUGUCCUCAUAUCUGAUAAACCUAAGAACACCGUCUACACCACCGUUUUCGAUCUACUUCUGUUCAUUUUCAAACACCUCCAUUCUGAUUUCUCAAAUCACUCCCCGAACCGGGAGUUCGCAAUAAUUACCUUCCGGAGUCAGUCCGACGCUUCUUCAAAUGUACCGAACGCAACUAGAAAUCCAAAGAUUCGGAGAUUGAGUUGCGGUCGCGAAUUCCUGAUGAAUUCUGUCAGAAUUGGAGAAAAAGAUUGA